UACGUAGGGUGCAAGCGUUGUCCGGAAUUAUUGGGCGUAAAGAGCUCGUAGGCGGUUUGUCGCGUCUGCUGUGAAAUCCCCAGGGCUUAACCCUGGGCCUGCAGUGGGUACGGGCAAACUAGAGUGCGGUAGGGGAGAUCGGAAUUCCUGGUGUAGCGGUGGAAUGCGCAGAUAUCAGGAAGAACACCCGUGGCGAAGGCGGCUCUCUGGGACGGUACUGACGCUGAGACGCGAAAGCGUGGGGAGCGAACAGG
rnacentral:rRNA from 1 species